UACGGAAGGCAGCAGUGGGGAAUAUUGCACAAUGGGCGCAAGCCUGAUGCAGCCAUGCCGCGUGUAUGAAGAAGGCCUUCGGGUUGUAAAGUACUUUCAGCGGGGAGGAAGGCGAUGUGGUUAAUAACCGCGUCGAUUGACGUUACCCGCAGAAGAAGCACCGGCUAACUCCGUGCCAGCAGCCGCGGUAAUACGGAGGGUGCAAGCGUUAAUCGGAAUUACUGGGCGUAAAGCGCACGCAGGCGGUCUGUUAAGUCAGAUGUGAAAUCCCCGGGCUUAACCUGGGAACUGCAUUUUGAACUGGCAGGCUUGAGUCUCGUAGAGGGGGUAGAAUUCCAGGUGUAGCGGUGAAAUGCGUAGAGAUCUGGAGGAAUACCGGUGGCGAAGGCGGCCCCUGGGACGAAGACUGACGCUCAGGGUGCGAAAGCGUGGGGAGCAAACAGGAUUAGAUACC
rnacentral:rRNA from 1 species